GGGCCCGCACAAGCGGUGGAGUAUGUGGUUUAAUUCGAUGAUACGCGAGAAACCUUACCUGGUCUUGACAUGUAGAGAACCCUUAAGAGAUUAGGGGGUGCCUGCUUGCAGGAGCUCUAACACAGGUGGUGCAUGGUUGUCGUCAGCUCGUGUCGUGAGAUGUUGGGUUAAGUCCCGCAACGAGCGCAACCCUUGUUGCUAGUUACCAGCACGUAAUGGUGGGAACUCUAGCGAGACUGCCGGUGACAAACCGGAGGAAGGUGGGGAUGACGUCAAAUCAUCACGCCCCUUACGACCAGGGCCACACACGUACUACAAUGCCCGGUACAACGAGCUGCCAAGCUGCGAAGCUGCGCUAAUCUCUUAAAACCGGGCCAAGUUCAGAUCGGAGGCUGCAAUUCGCCUCCGUGAAGCUGGAAUCGCUAGUAAACGCAAAUCAUCAUGUUGCGUUGAAUACGUUCUCGGGCCUU
rnacentral:rRNA from 1 species